GAGACUCGAAUAAGAAUGUCGAUAGAAUACAGAGUGAUCAGCUUCACUUCGAGUCAUGCCAAAGUCCUGGAUAACAGUGCUAAACUUACCAAACCAGGCUCGAGGAGACUGCUUUAGACCAUAAAGUGACUGUCGCAAGCGACAUACAAGGCCACGAGACUCCCCCUGAACAACAAACCCAGGUGGUUGCUCCAUAUAAACUUCAUCCUCAAGGUCACCGUGUAAAAAUUCAUUUUUAAUCUCCAGCUGAUACAGGGGCCAAUGGCGAACAGCAGCCAUAGAGAGAAAAAGGCGGACUGAUGCUAUCUUAGCCACUGGAGAGAAGGUAUCACUGUAAUUCCUCAAGGUCACCGUGUAAAAAUGCAUUUUUAAUGUCCACCUGAUACAGGGUCCAAUGGCGAACAACAACCAUUGACAGAAAAAGGCAGACUGAUGCUAUCUUAGCCAGGGGAGAGAAGGUAUUACAGUAAUCAAGCCCAAAUAUCUGAGUAUAUCCCUUGGAAACAAUAUGAGCCUUAAGACGAUCAACCUUACCAUCUUGACCAACCUUGAAUGCAUACACCCAACGACAACCAACAAUAGAUUUACCUGAAGGAAGAGGGACGAGCUCCCAAGUACCACUCGUAUGUAAAGAAGACAUCUCAUCAGUCAUAGCCUGCUGCCACCCUGGAUGAGACGAUGCUUCACCUGUAGACUUAGGGAUGGAAACAGACGACAAAGAAGAUAGAAAAGCAUAAUAGGGUGAUGACAAACGAUGAUAUCCUAAACCGAUAUAAUGGGAAUUAGGACUAAGGGUUGUCCGUAUACCUUUACAAAGUGCAAUCAGAAGAGACAAGUCCGCAGUAGGAGCAGGGUCAGGUGCAGGACGUGAAUCAACCUGGACGGGACAAUGCUUCACCUGUAGACUUAGGGAUGGAAACAGAGGACAAAGAAGAUAGAAAAUCAUAAUAGGGUGAUAAUAAACCAUGAUAACUUAAACCGAUAUAAUGGAGAUUAGGAUUAAGGUUGUCCGUAUACCUUUCCGAAGUGCAAUCAGAAUAGACAAGUCGGCAGUAGGAGUAAGGUCAGGUGCAGGACGUGAAUCAACCGUUCCGGAUGCUGGGCGGGGACGAUGAUAUGUCAAGAAUGAAGUUUUUGUGGCAGGGACUCUAGGAGGAGCCACACUAGACUCUCCAAUGGUUGGAAUGGGUAAGACUUCUGUAGCAGAAGGUGAAGGAGGAGCUAUAGUAGACUCUCUAAAGGCUGGUAUAGGUAAAACCUCAGAUAUAUCAAGAUGGUCAGAAUGGUCAGAAGAGGUANNNNNNNNNNNNNNNNNNNNNNNNNNNNNNNNNNNNNNNNNNNNNNNNNNNNNNNNNNNNNNNNNNNNNNNNNNNUAGAAGAGGUAAAGAAAGGUUUAGACUCAAAAAAUGUGACAUCAGCUAACAUAAGGUACCUACGAAGAUCAGGUGAAUAACAAUGAUAGCCCUUCUGGACACGAGAAUAACCAAGGAAGACACACUUGAGAGAACGAGGAGCUAACUUAUCUUUCCCAGGGGCUAAGUUAUGAACGAAACAAAUGCUCCCAAAAACACGAGGGGGAAAAGAGCAUAUGGGUGACUGGGGAAACAAUACCUUAUACCGAAUCUGAUUCUGGAUGGGAGAUGAAGGCAUCCGAUUAACCAAAUAAC
rnacentral:lncRNA from 1 species